ensembl:ncRNA lncRNA:CR44145 long non-coding RNA:CR44145
GAUCUGCGCUAUUCCGCGUUGGCCAACACAUCAGAAUCCAAUUGGCUGCACGUUUGUGCGGCAAACCACGCCAAAAAGCUCUUACACCGCCGGCCAUUUUGUUGCAACUCGUACAUAUUGGCAUUAGACUAAUCCAGAGUACCGCACGCAACAACUUAGUUAUUGGCCAUGGCCGAAAGCAGUCGGCAGAAGUCCCGGAAUUGCCGGAAAAUCGAGUCACUGAGAGAAAAUCGCGACGGCAAAUUAAACUUCCGUUAUAAAAAUUAUAUUUAAAAUUGGCUUUUGUAAAGCGGAAUGCAUUAUUUCGCAGGGCAUUGAAAAUUGUACCUAAAACAUAAAAUUGAACAGUGAAAAUUAAUUAAAUUAUAAAAACACACUGGCAUCUGGUAAUUAAAUACAUCAGACGGAAUGGUGACGCACAUUAGCCGAUAGUGCAACUCCAAAAACUCAGUGGCCCAGUCCCUGCCCCAUUUAAUGUGCAACAGCGAAAAGUUGAACGUGCUGGCAGCUAAAUUCCUUUUUCAUCCUCUCUCCUUGGCAACAAACACACUGACUCACACACUCGCUAACUGAUGGCCAUUAUCAGGAUCAUUAUGUGGCAUUAGGAGCCGCGCCACCAGGAUGAUGAUGUUGUUGCAGCUUAAAGUUGUAUGCGAUUUAUUUGCGGUCUUCUUGCCCCCUAUUGUGUGUAUGUGUGUGUGCGUGUGUGCGCGCGCAUGUGUGUGAAAAAGCGAAUUCGAGCUCAUUUAAAUAGCAUAAAUUAAGAUGCUUAAGCUCAUUAGGUGGAAGUUUUUAAUUAGCAAAACUGGACCGAAGUCCUUGUAAUGACCAACGACUGGCAGGUGGUCGCUUAUCAUCCGGGGGCAAAGGCAAAAGGCCAUCAUAGCAGUCAAGUGGUUGCCAAAAAUUAUAAUGAUUAUACAGCUAAUGCAGUUCCUACGAAUUUGCGUCAAGUCACACGUAUUUUUUGCAAUUCUGUAAAUAUUGUAGAUAUAUAAUUAAAAUAUAUGGAAUUACAUUUCCAAUUUCAAACCGAUAAAGUCCAAACGUUUAAACUGAAACGGAAACGUU